AUUGAACGCUGGCGGAAUGCUUUACACAUGCAAGUCGAACGGUAGAGGGGGCAACCCCUCGAGAGUGGCGAACGGGUGAGUAAUAUAUCGGAACGUGCCCAGUCGUGGGGGAUAACGUAGCGAAAGUUACGCUAAUACCGCAUACGAUCUAAGGAUGAAAGCGGGGGAUCGCAAGACCUCGCGCGAUUGGAGCGGCCGAUAUCAGAUUAGGUAGUUGGUGGGGUAAAGGCUCACCAAGCCAACGAUCUGUAGCUGGUCUGAGAGGACGACCAGCCAGACUGGAGCUGAGACACGGUCCAGACUCCUACGGGAGUCAGCAGUGGGGAAUUUUGGACAAUGGACGCAAGUCUGAUCCAGCCAUUCCGCGUGCAGGAUGAAGGCCCUCGGGUUGUAAACUGCUUUUGUACGGAACGAAAAGGUCUCUCUUAAUACGGGGGGCUCAUGACGGUACCGUAAGAAUAAGCACCGGCUAACUACGUGCCAGCCGCCGCAGUAA
rnacentral:rRNA from 1 species